UACCUUUUGCAUCAUGAUUUAGCCAGAAAAUCUCAAGCAAAGAGCACUUUAGUUUGAUUCCCCGAAACUACGUGAGCUACUCCAAGACAGCCUAACAUAGGGCAAACCCGUCUCUGUGGCAAAAGAGUGGGAAGAGCUUUGAGUAGAGGUGACAGACCUACCGAACCUAGUUAUAGCUGGUUGCCUGAGAAAUGAAUAGAAGUUCAGCCUAUCGGAUUCUUCCCUCACCUUUAUAUUUUUUACAACAACCAAAAGAAACCGAAAGAGUUAGUCAAAGGGGGUACAGCCCCUUUGACACAAGACACAACUUUUCCAGGAGGGUAAAGAUCAUACUCAAACACCAAGGUAAGAUGUUUUGGUGGGCCUAAAAGCAGCCACCCCUACAGAAUGCGUUAAAGCUCAAACAUACCUACCACCCAUAAUCCUGACAACCCUAUCUUAACCCCCUAACCCUACCAGGCCAUCCCAUGCAAACAUGGGAGUGACCAUGCUAAUAUGAGUAAUAAGAGAGCAUUAGCCUCUCUCCCUGCACAAG
rnacentral:rRNA from 1 species